AAUAAACCCCUUUUUGCUUUUUCUUACUCUGAGAGUCUCUGAUUGUUUUUAUGGUCAAUUCUGUCCAACACAAUUGUGCAGUGUUCCCGCCUUAGGAUAGUCCUACAAAUAUUGCUAUCAGAUAGAUAAUCUACUGUUGGAAACAAUGUGAACUAGCAGCAAAAAAAUUUCCCAGGACAUUUAGCAGAUUUCAAGCUGAUGUUUACCACAUCCUCUGCAAAAUCUUUGUGAUAAAAGGUGUUUAUCCUCCACAGAAUGUGAUAGCAUAUUGCUGGUUUAGAGAUUGGUUGCUCUGCCCCGCCCUGUCUAUUGUGACAAACUACUUCUGAUUGUUUAUUGGUUACAACGAAUCCCUAAAUAUAACUUAGUUUAUCACUUAGUGGUUAUUAUCCUCCUAUUUUGGCCAGCAAGCCGAUUCUGAAACUCUGGACUAAAGUGAAUUCCCCCAAAAUACAGUCAAUAAAUAUUUACCAGCCCAUCACUGGAACAGGACCAACAGUGGAGAAGUAUCUCCCUUAAGAAAGAAACAGAAGAGGUGGAAAAGUGAGGAGAAUUAAGAGCAAAAUUUAGAGCUGUUGCUAGUCUAAGCACUUCCUCAAAUGGAAAUUUUUAGCCAGAACUCAGCAAUUGGAGAAAGAGUCCAGCUGAAGGAGUGGAGGUAUCUCCUGGGUGAGAAGGAAGCUAAAAAGGAGGUGGAAAAGUCCAGAGAAUCAAUAGCAGAGUCAAGAGAAAAGACUGAAGAUUUAUUUUUCAAGCUGAGGAAUCUUAAUGAAAUGAUGAUGCUACAAAUGAAAAUAGUUGGAGAUGAACUCCAACAAUGGACUGAGAAAAAUAACAACUUUAUCAAAAAAAAAUCUAUUCAGCAGAAUAUACAAUGCAGGGUUUAUUAAGAGAAAUGACCAAAAUAGACUACCUUAUAGAAAAAUCAGACAAUGAGGAUGGAAGUCUGUCUGGAAAUGAACAUCAAAAACUGGGGGCCAAA